CAGUCGAACGAAACUUCUUUAUCACCGAGUGCUUGCACUCACCGAUAAAGAGUUGAGUGGCGAACGGGUGAGUAACACGUGGGCAACCUGCCCAAAAGAGGGGGAUAACACUUGGAAACAGGUGCUAAUACCGCAUAACCAUAGUUACCGCAUGGUAACUAUGUAAAAGGUGGCUAUGCUACCGCUUUUGGAUGGGCCCGCGGCGCAUUAGCUAGUUGGUGGGGUAAAGGCUUACCAAGGCAAUGAUGCGUAGCCGAACUGAGAGGUUGAUCGGCCACAUUGGGACUGAGACACGGCCCAAACUCCUACGGGAGGCAGCAGUAGGGAAUCUUCCACAAUGGGCGAAAGCCUGAUGGAGCAACGCCGCGUGGGUGAAGAAGGUCUUCGGAUCGUAAAACCCUGUUGUUAGAGAAGAAAGUGCGUGAGAGUAACUGUUCACGUUUCGACGGUAUCUAACCAGAAAGCCACGGCUAACUACGUGCCAGCAGCCGCGGUAAUACGUAGGUGGCAAGCGUUAUCCGGAUUUAUUGGGCGUAAAGGGAACGCAGGCGGUCUUUUAAGUCUGAUGUGAAAGCCUUCGGCUUAACCGGAGUAGUGCAUUGGAAACUGGGAGACUUGAGUGCAGAAGAGGAGAGUGGAACUCCAUGUGUAGCGGUGAAAUGCGUAGAUAUAUGGAAGAACACCAGUGGCGAAAGCGGCUCUCUGGUCUGUAACUGACGCUGAGGUUCGAAAGCGUGNGUAGCAAACAGGAUUAGAUACCCUGNUAGUCCACGCCGUAAACGAUGAAUGCUAAGUGUUGGA
rnacentral:rRNA from 1 species